rnacentral:tRNA from 1 species
GCCCCGGUAGCCCAACGGAAGAGGCAACGCGCUCAGAACGCGUCCAGUGCAGGUUCGAAUCCUGCCUGGGGCACGA